ACCUGGAUAGCUCAGUUGGUUAGAGCAUGGUGCAGAUAAUGGCAAGGUUGCAGGUUCAAUCCCUGUUGCAUAUU